CAGAAAGGUUCUGAGGGUAGAGAAUGAGGGGCAGAUAAUUCGAGUCAGUAAAAAUGUUGGUUUUUACUCUUUAUUGGAUUUUUGAAUCUGUCUCCAUCCCCUCCUGACUUCCGGUUCCUGGCAAUUCUCAGCCUCAGCCCCUGUCUCAGGAAGUUGAAGUAUCAGGAUUCCAGCAGAAAACAGAUGGCCCAUUCAAGGGAGGUAAUUGAUAAGAAUUGGGCCUGUUUACAAAGAAGUAGUCUGGGGUCAAGGAAGCCAAAAAAGAAUUGGUAAGUAGGGGGAGUUUUGCCUACCUUAGAUGGAAGGGACAGCAGAAGAGAUGUUUGUUGUAACACAGCAAACUCAGAG
rnacentral:lncRNA from 1 species